rnacentral:rRNA from 1 species
GACGAACGCUGGCGGCGUGCUUAACACAUGCAAGUCGAACGGUGAACCUCUUCGGAGGGGAUCAGUGGCGAACGGGUGAGUAACACGUGGGCAACCUGCCCCCGGCUCUGGGAUAACUCCAAGAAAUUGGGGCUAAUACCGGAUGUUCACCGCUUCCCGCAUGGGUGGUGGUGGAAAGGGUUUCCGGCUGGGGAUGGGCCCGCGGCCUAUCAGCUUGUUGGUGGGGUAGUGGCCUACCAAGGCGACGACGGGUAGCCGGCCUGAGGGGGUGACCGGCCACAAGGGGAAUGGGAGGCGGCCGAGACCAAUAGGGGAGGAAGGGGGGGGGAAUAUUGCAGAAAGACCGAGGCCGGGAGGAAGGCCGGCGGGUGGGGGAGGCCGGUUUUCGGGUUGGAAAACCAUUAGGGGAGGAACGCGGGGGCAGGGCGGUAACCUAAAAAAAAAGCCCGGCCAAAUUCGGG